rnacentral:rRNA from 1 species
GCUCAGGAUGAACGCUAGCGGCAGGCCUAAUACAUGCAAGUCGAACGAUACCAUUUAGCUUGCUAGAUGGGAAAGUGGCGCACGGGUGCGUAACGCGUAUGCAACCUACCUUAAUCAGGGGGAUAGCCCGAAGAAAUUCGGAUUAACACCGCAUAAAAUCACAGUACAGCAUUGUACAAUGAUCAAAUAUUUAUAGGAUUAAGAUGGGCAUGCGUGUCAUUAGUUAGUUGGCGAGGUAACGGCUCACCAAGACCACGAUGACUAGGGGAUCUGAGAGGAUGACCCCCCACACUGGUACUGAGACACGGACCAGACUCCUACGGGAGGCAGCAGUAAGGAAUAUUGGUCAAUGGAGGCAACUCUGAACCAGCCAUGCCGCGUGCAGGAAGACAGCCCUCUGGGUCGUAAACUGCUUUUAUUCGGGAAUAAACCUACUUACGUGUAAGUAGCUGAAUGUACCGAAGGAAUAAGGAUCGGCUAACUCCGUGCCAGCAGCCGCGGUAAUACGGAGGAUCCAAGCGUUAUCCGGAUUUAUUGGGUUUAAAGGGUGCGUAGGCGGCUUAUUAAGUCAGGGGUGAAAGACGGUGGCUCAACCAUCGCAGUGCCCUUGAUACUGAUGAGCUUGAAUACACUAGAGGUAGGCGGAAUGUGACAAGUAGCGGUGAAAUGCAUAGAUAUGUCACAGAACACCGAUGGCGAAGGCAGCUUACUAUGGUGUUAUUGACGCUGAGGCACGAAAGCGUGGGGAUCAAACAGGAUUAG